rnacentral:rRNA from 1 species
AACGUAGGACGCGAGCGUUAUCCGGAGUUACUGGGCGUAAAGGGCAGGCAGGCGGACAGACAAGCGUUGUGUGAAAUCUCCCUGGCUUAACCGGGAGGGCGCAUGGCGGACUGUCUGACUAGAGGGCAGCAGAGGAGCGUGGAAUUCCGGGUGGAGUAGUGAAAUGCGUAGAGAUCCGGAGGAACGCCAGAGGCGAAAGCGGGGCUCUGGGCUGCACCUGACGCUGAACUGCGAAAGCCAGGGGAGCGAACGGG